AAUUUAUACAUUUUUAAAUUUUAAAUUUUAAAAUUUAAAUUUAUAGUUUUAAAUUUUAAAUUUAUAAUUUUUCAAAUUUAAAAUUUUAUAUUUUAUAUUUUUUAAAUUUAAAAUUUUAUAUUUUAUAUAUUUUAAAUUUAAAUUUGAUAUUUUAUAUUUUUUAAAUUUAAAUUUGAUUUUAAAUUUAAAAUGAAAAUUUGAUAAAUUAAAACUUACAAUUUAAGAUUUUUAAAUUUGAAUUUUAAAUUUAAAAAUUAAAAUUUUAAAUUAAAAAAAUCAAAUAUAAAAUUUAAAAAUUUAAAUUCAAAUUUAAUGAAAAAAGUAAUAUCAUUAUUUUUUAUUUAUAACUGUCCACUAUUUUUCUUAUUCCGCAACCUAUUCAAAUGCUAUUUUUCUUAUUCCUGAAAAUAAUCUAAUUUUCAUCCAAACGUUAUUUUUUUUAUUCCCGGAACAACCAAAUUUUAAUCCAAAUACAAAAUUGGUUUAGUUUUUACUCAUACUUAGACUUGUGUCUAUUCUUAAAAUAAACAAUUUUUAUUUAUAGCUG
rnacentral:lncRNA from 1 species